GUGUACUCCAUGUACCGUAUAUAUGACAAAUCAACUAACUGUGUACUCCAUGUACCGUAUAUAUGACAAAUCAACUAACUGUGUACUCCAUGUACUGUAUAUAUGACAAAUCAACUAACUUGAACUUGAAGAAACCUACAUGCAUGCUGAACAUUCAGAGCUUUAACUGAUGCAGUGACAGUCUGACUAUAACAUUCACGUCUCCCCCUCUCUCUCCUCCGCUCUCUCUCCCUCUCUCUCCAUCUCUUUCUCUCUCUCUUUCCCCCUCUCUCCCUCUCUUUCCCCCAUCUCUCUCUCUCUCCCCUAUCUCUCCCUCGCUCUCUCUCCCUCUCUUUCUCUCCCUCGCUCUCUCUCCCUCUCUUUCCCCCAUCUCUCUCUCUCUCCCUCUCUCCCCUGUCUCUCUCUCUCCCUCGCUCUCUCUCCCUCUCUUUCUCUCUCCUCCCUCUCUCUCCCUCUCUUUCCCCCAUCUCUCUCUCUCCCCCAUCUCUCUCCCCCUCUCUCUCUCCCUCGCUCUCUCUCCCUCUCUUUCUCUCUCUCUUUCCCCCUCUCUCCCUCUCUUUCCCCAUCUCUCUCUCUCUCCCUCUCUCUCCCCUAUCUCUCUCUUUCCCUCGCUCUCUCUCCCUCUCUUUCUCUCCCUCACUCUCUCUCUCACUCUUUCCCCCAUCUCUCUCUCUCUCCCUCAUCUCUCUCUCUCCCUCGCUCUCUCUCCCUCUCUUUCUCUCUCUCUUUCCCUUCUCUUUCCCCCAUCUCUCUCUCUCUCCCUCUCUCUCCCCUAUCUCUCUCUCUCCCUCGCUCUCUCUCCCUCUCUUUCUAUCCCUCGCUCUCUCUCCCUCUCUUUCCCCAUCUCUCUCUCUCUCCCUCUCUCUCCCCUAUCUCUCUCUCUCUCCCUCCCCCUCUCUCUCCUUCUCUCUAUUUUUCUCUCUAAUACACACACUCAAACUCUGAUUCUAUUCUCUCACAGCACACACAAUUACACACAAUUACACACCUCCAUUAAUAAUAUGGGCUACACUCUGC
rnacentral:lncRNA from 8 species